rnacentral:tRNA from 1 species
GCCAAAGUAGCUCAGCUGGUAGAGCAACGCACUCGUAAUGCGUAGGUCUGGAGUUCGAGUCUCCACUUUGGCU